UAAAUAAAUAAAUACAUAAAAACCACACAGAAACAAAAAAGGAGCCAUAUGGAACACGAACUUUGCUGGCUGCUGCAGCCAAACAAUCUCCCUUCCCCCACCAAGGCCACACAGAUUGGCACAGUUCUGUUUCUGUUGCUAUAAAUGAAAGUUUUUGGUUGGUAACUGUGAAGAGGCCCAGGACGGAGAGAAAAGAAUGGUGGGGCUGGGUAGCAGGUGGGGGUGGUGGAAGGAGUCAGAGAGGAGGCAAAGGAAAAUAGGGAAACAAAAUGGUAUCUCUCUCCAAGCAGAUCUCUUCAACUACCUGUGAAAACUGAUGUGAUGAAAAGGGGAAAUUGAAGGAGCCAUUCCAGAAGACAGGGCAAAAAUGGAAUCAGGGCCAAGAAAAACAGAAAUAGCAGGACCUGGAGUUGAAUAGGUGGAAUAGUUGAGUAGGCUACUCUCCCCAGCUGGCAGGAAACCUAGCACCCUUCUGGUGUCCAAGGACUGAAAACUUUAGAAGCACCUGGAGUUGGCAGCCUUGGCAUGGUCAGGUUGGCACCUCUGGAGGUGCCCAGGCUUCCCUGGUGGCAUUGUGAGCAGUGGAUGGUGUCGAAGGGCAGCCAGAGGAGGAAUGGAACACAUGCUCCUUGCUAACCACAGGGACAAGGCCACAUUCACAGGUACACAAAGGCAACACAGUUGCUCAGGUGCUUCCGUAUCACAGCCAAGACCCCUUUGGGGGAAGCUAGUUGGAUACUCGGAUCCACAUUGCAGACUACUAAGCCACUGUCGCCCCUCGGCUCCGUUUCUGCUCCCUCCACCCCAAGAGGAUGGGGGUGGAAGGCCGCCUUCCAUGGGUGUGUCCUCCACGAUGACCUACCUGAUAACAAAGGUGCAUGGAUUUCAGAUUGGCCUACAACAGCAUUUGGCUUGUGGAGACAGUGGUUCCCUGGUGAAAAACUGCCAUGAUGUAAGGAACAGCCCGUCAGAGCGAGGCUGGGGUGCUGCGUGUUGGGGAGAAGCUCCACCCGCUGGCUGAGUCUGGCACAUGAACCAGUCUGUGAGCGGAUGGAUGUGGGUGUAAUGGGGGCAAUUACACUAGGAAGGAGCCCACAUGGAGCCUGCAUUCUCUGGGACAGGCCAAGACCCAGAUCCUACCUUCCCAGGUGGCUGGAUGGGUCGUAGAUGUACGAACCGGACCCCUCAUUUUCUGAUUGCCCUGUGCUUAACGUUUCUGUACCUUUACCGAGGCUCUUUCCUUGGACUCCAGUGCCCAGACCCCUCCUUCUCCUGAACAUGAAUGCCUGUCCAUGGAAAUUCGAGUCUCUGUCUCUCACCCAGGCUGGAGUACAGUGAUGCAAUCUCAACUCACUGCAACCUCUGCCU